UACGGGGGGGGUAAGCGUUGUUCGGAAUUACUGGGCGUAAAGGGCUCGUAGGCGGCCAACUAAGUCAUACGUGAAAUCCCUCAGCUUAACUGGGGAACUGCGUGUGAUACUGGAUGGCUUGGAUUUGGGAGAGGGAUGCGGAAUUCCAGGUGUAGCGGUGAAAUGCGUAGAUAUCUGGAGGAACACCGGUGGCGAAGGCGGCGUUCUGGACUGCAACUGACACUGAUGAACGAAAGCCAGGGGAGCAAACGGG
rnacentral:rRNA from 1 species